rnacentral:snoRNA from 1 species
UGGGGGCACAGAGUUGCAGUUGAUCGAAACUAGAUCAUGUGCGCUAAGUUGUCCCGAAAGAGAUUCGGAUUAUAAGAAAAUGUUGCUUGUCGUCGAGUAAUAUUGAUAUUCAUUCGUACAUUU